UUCGGCUUCGAUCGGCGGAUACGGCUUUUUCGUUGACGUUCCGGGUGAAUGCGGUGAAAGUCGGGGGUCAGCCUCUCUGAAUGUCCGUCUUCCACCCAGUCAUGUGACUAACCUGUUUAGAUGUUCCUCUAUCAGAACCUUUUAUCAACAUGUUACUCUACAUCCUGACGCUCUUUUUUUAACCCAGGGUUGCACCUGUCUCUGUACAGGUGUGUGAGGUCACAUGACCGGUUACAGACAGAAACAGGAUUACACAGAUGGAUAGAUUAAAGAGGAUUACAUCUGUUUGUCUGAAAGUUUAAUCUGACCUCAGAUCAGCCGACUCUGUUUCAUUCUCACACACUGCUGUUAGAUCAUUGUCGUCUUUUUCUUUUACAACAGAGUCCAAAAAAAUCUAUAAUCUAUUGAAUUAGAUUAACUCUUAAUAUUUUUCUGAAUCAUGUAGAAAUUAAAGUGUGAACGUACAGAAAUAAACUGAGAUACUGUACGUGUUGGACCGGGUCAUAAAUCCACUGAGGUUCGGUUCUUCGUCUGUAAUCAGGACUCUGGUUUAAACUCUGAUGAUCGCUGAGCAGCUGACAUGAUUAAUGCUUUAGGGGCCUCUGUAACACACACACACACACACACACACACACACUUUAUAACAGGAAGUCCUGUAUUACUGUUUGCUCAUAAAUUAGCACAGAUCGCUCGCCUUCCGUCGUCUUGGAGAGAUGAAACCUUCUUACCUGUCAGGUAAACCGGAGACCGAUAUGAGAGUUCAGUUAUGAGGCGGUGAGGUGUGUUUGUGUUACCUGAGCAGAGUAAUGAAAACACUCCUGAGAAGUCAUAGUUACAGAUCUGAUUAUCAGGAACUGGGUGAGUGGGUGGGAUGGGGGGCUGUAGUGAUAUACCUGUACCAACAAUAAACAUCAAUUACAGGACCAGGACGAUGGAGCUCAGAGACUCAUGUUGUUAGAGGAUGUUUAUACCUGUCUGUACAGGUAAACAAAGAUGGCUGCUGACUUUUCUUUCUUUCUCUUUUUCUGUCUUUAUUUUACCCUGAAGCUGUGGAGUCUGUGAGAAGGAGACGGUCAGUUCGUUUACAGUCUCAGUUUAAUCAGACUAAACUCAUAAUUCGUCUUCUUCUCUGAAUCAGACUUCUCUCCUCGUCCUCGUUUACAUGCAGCUGAGAAAAUCGAAUUAUUGACGUGAACGUGUCCUCCUCCCCAACACUAGGGGGCGAUAUGGGUCUUUUCAGACGUCAGAAGUGUCUACAACUGCUGCUGGGCAUUUUGGAGAAACAAGAAGAUGGAGCAUCGUACAGCGUUGUUUUUGUCCGACAUGAUGGACGCGCCACUUUUUCUAAAGAGGAGACCAACGCUACUCCUCUACUCUGGGGGUUUUGUUACGGGGUUACGGGGGCGUGGCUUCAUACUCCGACUACGCUGGUUACAUGGUAGAGAAAAUCAAAUUCCAAUCUCAUUAUCUGGGUGUCUUAAUCAGAGUUCUCAAACUCUGAUUAUAGUCGGACUAAAGUGUUUACAUGACCUUCAGUUGUCCGGUCUUAAUCGGAAAAAGGCGAUAAUUCAGUUUUCUCGUGUGUCAUGGAAACGGACUGAAUGAUUUCUAAUUCUACAUUGAAAGGACAACUGUUGUCCUUUCCAAGCGUAGAUUCCCGCUGCAGAGUCAUGUGACUAACCUGUUGGACAAAGUUGGUUUAAAAUCAUCUGAAAACCAUAAAAAUCUGUUUUAUUUCCGAUCAUUUUAACUCUUAAAUGUCUUUUAAACUUCGUCUAAGGUGUUUACAUGAACUUCAGCUGUCCGGUCUUAAUCGGAAUAAGGCGAUAAUUCGGUUUUCUCGAGUGUCAUGUUAAUGUACUGAGUGUGGCGUUGGACAGGUGACUCCAUCACUGCAGGUAAAAGUCAUGUGACCAGGCGUAGGUGUGUGACGCUCUGAUGUUUCUUCAGUUUCGAGGUUUAAUUGGUUUAUUUCCUGGAAACUGAAUCUUUAUGCAACAAGUUACACAACUGAGAGUGUAGGGAGGACAGGGUGAAUCAGAGAGGGGGGGGGGGGGGGGGUGAGGAGGGGUGAGGAGGGGGGGUGAGGGGGCCCUGCUUUCUUUGUGGCUCCCACAGAAACAUCUCCAAUUACAGGACAAAGGCGGCUCAUUCAGGCCCAAAGCUCCAACUCUGCAGCUUUGCAUGUCUAAUGAGCGCUCCGCUGAAUGCUAAGAGGACCGCGGGGUGCAGCAGAGGCCUCAGCACCCCCAACAUCCACCCACCAGAGUCCACCCACCUACACCCCUAUCCUCCCCCCCUGAACCCCUCUGUUCUCCUGCAGUCGUACAUCCAGGCCGGGCCUCCCCUCAGCACCAACAGGAAGUUCUCAGACCAACUCCUGAACACUGUAGGAAAUCUAAAUAUUCGACUUUUUACAGUGUUCUCCCUCCUGCAUUAAAGGCACAGUGGGUAACUUUCAGCCACUAGGGGUCUCACUCCCAAAACGACCACAGAUGUAGUUUCACAACGUAACCGGAUCAUGAGAGCUGAUGAUAAAUCAUGUUUUCAUCGUGUUUCAUUUUGCUGAGUCAUGUUAUAAAAUAGCAGCUAGUUAGCAUCAGUGCUAGCUAACAUAGACAGCCGUCAAACUAACCUGCUUCUCUGAGACGUGUUCAGAUGUUUCUCUGGAGGACGAGACCGAACAAACAUCAGCCUAACCCUGACCCCCGACCUCCACCUUCAUCCUGAUCGUCUCCUAAAAGGUCGUAUCCUCCGAUCGCAGCUGAUCGUAACCAUUCAAUUUAACGUGUCAAUUUACACCGACUUCUUUCCGUUCCUCUGCGGAUCGUAAGAGAUGGGUAGUUUUCCAUCGAAGGGGCCGAACUGAUCGACAUCUGGAGCCUCAAAAAGGUUCAUUUUGUGAACCAGAAGACCUGUGAAGUCCUGUGAAGAUCUGAUCCCAGAUCUGCAGGCUGGUUCUUCUGACUCUCUCCUUUCUGCUCUAAUAACGGGCUCCAUAAAUCAGCUCUCGUUAAUCCAGAUUCUGCUGACUCAGCAGAGCUCACACUAAACCAUUAAACUGGUUUCCUUUUAGUCGUCAUAUUGAUCUCUAAAUUCUUUGAUUGGUUUAUUAUCUUCUCUCCGCAUCGAUCCAGAGCUGCAGCACUCUGAGAGGAUCCUGGACCUGGACUAAGAGAGACUUCACCUUUAUUUUGGAGGAGAAAUAAAUAAAAAUAAUAAUUAUUCUAAAUUACGCUCCAGUUUUAUGACUUUACGUUUAAAAUCUGACAUUCAGAAUAAAUCUAAAAACCAAGAUCUUCUCUUGUGGACAUUUAUACGUUUAUCUAACAUGCGUAUGAAGCGAACUGAUCCCAGAUCUGAGAGUCUGACGCUGAGUCUUACACUAAUGACUGCUCUCAUCCAUGUUUUUAUUUUGGCGGGGGGUUGAUGUCUUCCUGUUCGGCUGGCGUCCUGCAGCAGACUCUCUCAGGAUCUCAUUAACUUUUAUUUUUUUAUUGAUUUCUGUCUGAGUUCACUUCCUGCUUUCAAGGUGAGAUAAGGAGAGGGCGCCCUCCCCGUCCAGAGAGAACACCCGCCAUCAUCAUCAUCAUCAUCAUCGUCGUCGUCGUGGUUACUGUCUUUAUCAGGACUGAAGGGUCUCCACUGUUUGUUUGUUUGUUUGUUUGUUGUGAGGGAGGAUCUGAUCUCGUCGUUCUCAUGAGAGUUUCUGUAACACACGCUGAGUUCACAUUUGUUUUAGUGGUGGGCAAAACCGGUCAUUUCAGUGAACCGGAUCAUUUCGGGUCGUUCAGUAAAAAGACCCGUUCAUUUCGUUCUUUUCGGUCAUUUCGGUCAUUAGUCAGUCGUCGUCGUCGUCCCCCCCCCCCCCGCGGUCCGACGCUGUGACCGCUGCACUCUCCACUUCCCACCCCGGUCCAACGCUGCGAUCUCACUGCACUACUUGUAAUAUAAAAUUAUAGUAGGAGUAACAAAAUAUAUAUAUAAACCUUAUAUAUAAGGUUUUUAAUGGUUUUUUUAUUAUUUUGAGGUGCAUUAAAAACAAUAAUAAAAAGUACAAAAUGUCAACAGACAG
rnacentral:lncRNA from 1 species